CCUGCAGGAAAGGACAUCAACCGAGACUCCGCAAGUAGUGGCGAGCGAACGCGGACCAGGCCAGUGGCACUGAGGAAUAAAGUGGAACGACAUGGAAAGGUCGGCCGUAGAGGGUGAUAGCCCCUUACACGUAGAACACUCAGUGUCCUUGAGUAAGGCGGGACACGUGAAAUCCUGUCUGAACAUGGGGAGACCACUCUCCAAGCCUAAGUACUCGUGCAUGACCGAUAGCGAACAAGUACCGUGAGGGAAAGGUGAAAAGCACCCCGACAAGGGGAGUGAAAUAGAACCUGAAACCGGAUGCCUACAAACAGUCGGAGCCCGCAAGGGUGACGGCGUACCUUUUGUAUAAUGGGUCAACGACUUAGUGUGACGAGCAAGCUUAAGCCGAUAGGUGAAGGCGCAGCGAAAGCGAGUCUGAAUAGGGCGUUCAGUUCGUCGCAUUAGACCCGAAACCGAGUGAUCUAGCCAUGAGCAGGUUGAAGGUUGGGUAACACCAACUGGAGGACCGAACCCGCAUCUGUUGCAAUAGAUUGGGAUGACUUGUGGCUAGGGGUGAAAGGCCAAUCAAACUCGGAAAUAGCUGGUUCUCCGCGAAAACUAUUUAGGUAGUGCGUCGACCGAAUACCCUCGGGGGUAGAGCACUGGAUGGGCUAUGGGGACUCACCGUCUUACUGAUCCUAACCAAACUCCGAAUACCGAGGAGUACUAGUCGGCAGACACACGGCGGGUGCUAACGUCCGUCGUGAAGAGGGCAACAACCCUGACCUCCAGCUAAGGUCCCCAAGUCAUGGCUAAGUGGGAAAGGAUGUGAGGAUCCCAAAACAACCAGGAUGUUGGCUUAGAAGCAGCCAUCAUUUAAAGAAAGCGUAACAGCUCACUGGUCUAAUUAAGGGUCUUUGCGCCGAAAAUGUAACGGGGCUAAAGCCAUGCACCGAAGCUGAGGAUACGUCGCAAGACGUGUGGUAGCGGAGCGUUCCGUAAGCCUGUGAAGGGAUACCUGUGAGGGGUCCUGGAGGUAUCGGAAGUGCGAAUGUUGACAUGAGUAACGAUAAAGAGGGUGAGAGACCCUCUCGCCGAAAGACCAAGGGUUCCUGCUUAAAGUUAAUCUGAGCAGGGUUAGCCGGCCCCUAAGACGAGGCGGACACGCGUAGUCGAUGGGAACCACGUUAAUAUUCGUGGGCCUGGUGGUAGUGACGGAUUGCUUAACUUGUACGCUCUUAUUGGAUUGGGUGUGCAGGGACGCGGUUCCAGGAAAUAGCUCCACCGUAUAGACCGUACCCGAAACCGACACAGGUGGUCAGGUAGAGUAUACCAAGGCGCUUGAGAGAACUAUGCUGAAGGAACUCGGCAAAUUGCACGCGUAACUUCGGAAGAAGCGUGACCCUUUUAUACGCAAGUAUGAAAGGGUGGCACAGACCAGGGGGUAGCGACUGUUUAUCAAAAACACAGGGCUCUGCGAAGUCGCAAGACGACGUAUAGGGUCUGACGCCUGCCCGGUGCUGGAAGGUUAAGAGGAGGGGUGCAAGCUCUGAAUCGAAGCCCCAGUAAACGGCGGCCGUAACUAUAACGGUCCUAAGGUAGCGAAAUUCCUUGUCGGGUAAGUUCCGACCUGCACGAAUGGCGUAACGACUUCCCCGCUGUCUCCAGCAUAGACUCAGUGAAAUUGAAUUCCCCGUGAAGAUGCGGGGUUCCUGCGGUCAGACGGAAAGACCCCGUGCACCUUUACUAUAGCUUUACACUGGCAUUCGUGUCGGCAUGUGUAGGAUAGGUGGUAGGCUUUGAAGCAGGGACGCCAGUUCUUGUGGAGCCAUCCUUGAAAUACCACCCUUAUCGUCAUGGAUGUCUAACCGCGGUCCGU
rnacentral:rRNA from 1 species